GUACGCUGGCGGCACGCCUAACACAUGCAAGUCGAACGAAGUAGCAAUACUUAGUGGCAGACGGGUGAGUAACAUGUAGGUAUCUACCCUUUGGCCCGGAAUAACACGAGGAAACUUGUGCUAAUACCGGAUAAGUCUUUACGGAGAAAGCUUUAUGCACCAUUGGAUGAGCCUGCACUUGAUUAGUUUGUUGGUAGGGUAAUGGCCUACCAAGACUGUGAUCAAUAGCUGAUUUGAGAGGAUGAUCAGCCACAUUGGGACUGAGACACGGCCCAAACUCCUACGGGAGGCAGCAGUGGGGAAUCUUGCACAAUGGAGGAAACUCUGAUGCAGCGAUGCCGCGUGAGUGAAGAAGGCCUUUGGGUUGUAAAGCUCUUUCGUCGGGGAAGAAAAUGACUGUACCCGAAUAAGAAGGUCCGG
rnacentral:rRNA from 1 species